CUCAAUUUUUUGAAGUACAAAAUAAUUGUAAUGAUGAUUCGUCCAACUUCUCACCUCCAAUGGUCAUACUAAAUUAUUGUUGAGUUAUGGUUUUUCAAUUUUUUUUAAUUCUAUAUAUACAUUAAAGUAGCUAAUAUGAUAUGGACGUCCAUGGUGUAGUCUUUGUUAGUUUGGCGUUUUUUGACGUGUGGUUGCUGGCAUUUGUGUUCUUCAUUUUAUCCUUCGAGAUGUUUAUCUUUUUUUCUUUUGUGAUAUUUACAGAUUGUUUAAUACAUUGCAAAAUUUACCAGAAAAUUCUUUCAUUCUUUAAAAAACUGUUUGUUUAUUUUUUAAGGAUUGUUUCCUUGUCUAGACUUGGCAGGAUACACUCUGUGAAGAAGAAGAGUCGGUCUGGAGAGCAGUCAUAUUGGAGAAGUUGUGGUUCCAUUUCAGCACAUUUAACAUCUUUAUCCAGAGCAUUUUAGAGAAAGAACAAUGAAUGAAAAGUGAACCUUUGAAUUUUGAAGAAAGCUUCGCAAAAUGACAAAUGGAAGAUUGCUAUGGAUGAAGAGAUAAAAGCCAUAAAAAAGAAUGAUAGGUGGGAACUUUCUACUCUUCCAAAUGGAAAGAAAGCAGUAGGUGUCAAAUGGGUGUUCAAGAUAAAAAGAAAUGAAAAAGGAGAAGUGGAGAGAUACAAAGCAAGAUUAGUUCCAAAAGGAUAUUCUCAGAGAAAAGGCUUUGAUUACGAUGAAGUGUUUGCUCCAGUUGCUCGUUUGAAAACCAUAAGAUUGUUAAUUGCGCUUGCUGCUCAAAAUAAUUGGAAGAUCUCUCAUAUGGAUGUCAAAUCAGCAUUUUUGAAUGGAUAUCUAGAAGAAGAAGUCUACUUAGAACAACCUCUUGGUAUUUUGUGAAAGGUCAAGAGGAUAAAGUUCUAAAAUUGAAGAAGACAUUACACGAAUUGGAACAAGCACCAAGAAUGUGGAAUAGCAUAAUCAACAAAUAUUUCCUUGAUAAUGAGUAUUUGAGGUGCCCUUAUGAACAUUCCCUUUAUAUUAAGACUAAUGAUCAUUGAGAUAUUUUGGUGGUUUGUUUGUACGUGGAUGACUUAAUUUUUACAGGAAAUUGUGCAAGUAUGUUUGAAGAUCUCAAUAAGGCGAUGACCCAAGAAUUUGAAAUGACAGAUAUAGGGUUGAUGUCAUAUUAUCUUGGCAUUGAGGUGAAGCAAACAGAGGAAGGUAUUUUCAUCUCUCAAGAGCGGUAUACUAGAGAAAUUCUAGAGAAGUUCAAUAUGAUUAAUUCUAAGCCUGUUACAACUCCGAUUGAAACUGGGACCAAUUGUCCAAAUAUGAAGAAGGAGAUGUUGAUCCUUCAUAUUUCAAAAGUUUGGUUGGGAGUUUGAGAUAUUUAACUUGCACACGACCAAAUAUUCUUUUCAGCGUUGGAUUGAUGAGUCGAUUUAUGGAAUCUUCUACAACUACUCAUUUGAAAGUGGCAAAGAGAAUUCUUCGUUACGUCAAAGGUACACUUGACUAUGGGUUAUUUUAUUCUUCAUCUAAAGAAUUCAAGCUUGAAGGCUAUUGGGAUAGUGACUGGGCUGGAGAUACUAAUGAUCGAAAGAGCACUAGUGGAUUUGUUUUCUUCGUUGGUAAUACUACAUUUACUUGGAGUUCUAAGAAGCAACCUAUUGUAACUUUAUCCACUUGUGAGGUCGAAUAUGUUGCUGCAGCUUCAUGUGUUUGUCAUGCAGUUUGGUUAAGAAAUUUGUUAAAGACAAUUGAAAGUUUGCAAGAUGAUCCAACUGUGAUCCAUGUAGACAAUAAGUCAACAAUUGCUCUGGCAAAGAAUCCUGUGUUCCAUGAUCGUAGCAAACACAUUGAUACUAGAUUUCAUUUCAUCAGAGAUUGCAUUUCAAGGAAGGAGGUUCAUGUUGAAUAUGUGAAUUCUGAAGAUCAAGUUGUAAAUAUUUUCAGGAAGCCACUCAAAGUUAAUGUGUCUAACAAGUUAAGAAGUUCACUUGAAGUUUUUCAAAAAUCAUGUUUAAGGGAGGAUGUUGAAAAUUGAACAUGCUUUAAAUAAAUAAGUUAUAUGUGAAUUGAUUUAUGAGAGUUAGAAAAAGUUAAAGGAUGUGAGUUAAAAUAUUUAGAGUUAAUUUAGUAUGAGUUUUUAUAUUAACUAAGUGUGGGUUUUAGAUUGUUGUGUUUAAUUUGUGGUAUGAGUUAUGCUCAUGACAAUUCUAUAAAUAGGAUUGAAAUGUUGUAAUCUAAAUUAUCCAAGUGAGUAGAAUACACAUAAAAAAGUUAGAGUCUUCCAAUAAAGUUUAUUUUUUCUCUUAAAUAUUCUAUUUGGUAAUUAUCUAUUUAGGGUGUUUAUCGUGUAGAUGUUGUGUUUGAUGAAGAAGCAUCAUGAAAUUGGAAUGAUGAACCAGAAGACUACAAUUUUUUUGUUUUCCGUGAUGAUCAUGAUGAGCCUAGUGACAUUGCUUCCCCAUCAACACCACCAACAUCGCCAAUCACUCCACAACAAAGCACACACCUUCAUCAUUUGCAAGAAGUUCAAGUGAAGGGCCUUGUGGCAUGAGAAGUUUACGAGACAUAUAUAUGAAACUGAAGAGUUAAGUCAAAGUUUUAAUAAUCUUACUCUCUUUUGUUUAUUUGGUGGCAGUGAACCUUUGAAUUUUGAAGAAAGCUUCGCAAAAUGACAAAUGGAAGAUUGCUAUGGAUGAAGAGAUAAAAGCCAUAAAAAAGAACGAUAGGUGGGAACUUUCUACUCUUCCAAAUGGAAAGAAAGGAGUAGGUGUCAAAUGAGUGUCGAUAAAAAGAAAUGAAAAAUGAGAACUGGAGAGAUACAAAGCAAGAUUAGUUCCAAAAGGAUAUUCUCAAAGAAAAGGCAUCGAUUACAAUGAAGUGUUUGCUCCAGUUGCUCGUUUGAAAACCAUAAGAUUGUUAAUUGCGCUUGCUACUCAAAAUAAUUGGAAGAUCUCUCAGAUGGAUGUCAAAUCAGCAUUUUUGAAUGGAUAUCUAGAAGAAGAAGUCUACUUAGAACAACCUCUUGGUUAUUUUGUGAAAGGUCAAGAGGAUAAAGUUCUAAAAUUGAAGAAGGCAUUACACGGAUUGAAACAAGCACAAAAAAUGUGGAAUAGCAUAAUCAACAAAUAUUUCCUUGAUAAUGAGUAUUUGAGGAAAUUGUGCAAGUAUGUUUGAAGAUCUCAAGAAGGCGAUGACCCAAGAAUUUGAAAUGACAGAUAUAGGGUUGAUAUCAUAUUAUCUUGGCAUUGAGGUGAAGCAAACAGAGGAAGGUAUUUUCAUCUCUCAAGAGUGGUAUACUAGAGAAAUUCUAGAGAAGUUCAAUAUGAUUAAUUCUAAGUCUGUUACAACUCCGAUUGAAACUGGGACCAAAUUGUCCAAAUAUGAAGAAGGAGAUGUUGAUCCUUCAUAUUUCAAAAGUUUGGUUGGGAGUUUGAGAUAUUUAACUUGCACACGACCAAAUAUUCUUUUCAGCAUUGGAUUGAUGAGUCGAUUUAUGGAAUCUCCUACAACUACUCAUUUGAAAGUGGCAUAGAGAAUUCUUCGUUACCUCAAAGGUACGCUUGACUAUGGGUUAUUUUAUUCUUCAUCUAAAGAAUUCAAGCUUGAAGGCUAUUGGGAUAGUGACUGGGCUGGAGAUACUAAUGAUUGGAAGAGCACUAGUGGAUUUGUUUUCUUCGUUGGUAAUAUAUACUACAUUUACUUGGAGUUCUAAGAAGCAACCUAUUGUAACAUUAUCCACUUGUGAGGUCGAAUAUGUUGUUGCAGCUUCAUGUGUUUGUCAUGCAGUUUAGUUAAGAAAUUUGUUAAAGACAAUUGAAAUUUUGCAAGAUGAUCCAACUGUGAUCCAUGUAGACAAUAAGUCAACAAUUGCUCUGGCAAAGAAUCCUGUGUUCCAUGAUCGUAGCAAACACAUUGAUACUAGAUUUCAUUUCAUCAGAGAUUGCAUUUCAAGGAAGGAGGUUCAUGUUGAAUAUGUGAAUUAUGAAGAUCAAGUUGUAAAUAUUUUCACGAAGCCACUCAAAGUUAAUGUGUCUAACAAGUUAAGAAGUUCACUUGAAGUUUUUCAAAAAUCAUGUUAAAGGGAGGAUGUUGAAAAUUAAACAUGCUUUAAAUAAAUAAGUUAUAUGUGAAUUGAUUUAUGAGAGUUAGAAAAAGUUAAAGGAUAUGAGUUAAAAUGUUUAGAGUUAAUUUAGUAUGAGUUUUCAUAUUAAUUAACCGUAGGUUUUAAAUUGUUGUGUUUAAUUUGUGGUAUGAGUUAUGCUCAUGACAAUCCUAUAAAUAGAAUUGAAAUGUUGUAAUCUAAAUUAUCCAAGUGUGAGUAGAAUAAGUCUUCCAAUAAAGUUUGAUUUUCCUCUUAAAUAUUUUAUUUGGUAAUUAUCUAUUUGAAGUGUUCAUCGUACCCUUCCAAAGAAAAAUUAUUAUUCCACACCCUAUUCUAGAAAGAAACUGAAUCACCACUAUUAAUUUUUCAGGUGUAUUGUGUAUAGAACCGGUCGAUACCUUUUAUGAUGGCAUUCCAAAGAGCUUUGGAGCUGCUACAUCUGCCUUUGAUGUAGACAUCUCCAUCGAAAGCCUGAUUAUACUUUGCAAGAACCAAUCUUUUCCAAAGUGACUAUUUUUCAGAGAGGAACCUCCAAAGCCAUUUGCAAAAAAUGGCAAAGUUUGUAUUCAUGACUUUGUUAAUGCCAAGACCACCCUUUUCUUUAGGUACAGAUAUCUUUUACCAUCUAAGGAGAUGAGUGUUAUUGCUAUCCAUAGAGCUUCUCCAAAGAAAGUUUCUCAAACUUUUUUCAGUACUCUUGCAAACACCUUCGGGGUUUUGAAAAUCGACAUCUGAUAAGUUGGCAGGCUUUUUCCAAACUAGAAUUGAUGAGCGUAAUUUUACUCCCUUUGGAUAUGAAGGAGUAUUUCCAACUGCAAAGCUUCUUUUGUAUCUUCUCUGUAACGUUAUCCCAUAAUGUUAUUGAAGUUGGUUUGCCACCAAGUAGGAUCCCAAGGGGAAAUGGUGGAUUUAUUUAAAUUGAUGUUUAGACCCGAGGCAGAUUCAAAUAGGUGGAAAAUGUACCUGAGGUUGUUUAGAGAUUCAUCAUUAUCUUCAGUGAAAAGUAAGAUGUCAUUCCGCAAAAAGGACGUGGGAUAAAUUAAAAUUAUGCUCCAUGUUUACUCCCCUAAUUUUCCCCAUUUGCUUCAUAUCAGUAAGUAGCCUAUGGAGAUAGUCCAUGGCUAGUACAAAAAUGAAGGGUGAUAUAGGAUCUCCCUGUCGAAUGCCUCUGCUAGCUCGGAUAAAUUCUACCACGAGAUUUUCCAUUAAUUAAUAUAGAGUACUGAACACUAGAUAUGCACCUAUGAAUCCAUUUUCUCUAGCCAAAAGAAAAUAAAAAUUCAGCAGCAUAUAGUCGAUAAACUUCAAAUUGAUUUUGUCGAAGGCUUUUUCACUACUAAGCUUUAUAAUAAAUCCUUUGACCAUUU